UAGCCUUGUGGUUAAGGCAAUGGAUCGCCAAUCCGGAGACGGCGGGUUCGAUUCCCGU
rnacentral:tRNA from 1 species